ensembl:snoRNA small nucleolar RNA, H/ACA box 28
AAGCAACACUCUAUGGCAGAUGAUCAAAACUGUCUGAAAAUUUUUGUACUUGCUACAGCAAGAAAGUCUAACCAAUUCCAGUAGUCUCUUCUCCAUGAGACAAGCUGCUAUGAUACUUAAAUAGC